AAUUUGUGGGGCCAGGUCGGGGCAGGCAGUGCUGAGGAAUGCGGAGGAGGAAGAGCUGGGGACAGCGCUGCAUUCCUGGCAAUUAGAGAGCAGGGGUGGCACACACACCCAGCCUGGGAGUCUCUGAGCAGAGGGACAGAUGGACUGGACAGGUGCCCCCUCCUGGAGAAGGCCCGUGUGCCCACGUCAGACAAGCCUUGAGUCUGAAUCUCAGCUCCAGCACUUCUGAGCUGUGUGACCUUGGACAAGUCUCUUUGUGUCUCUGAUCCUCCAGGACCUCACCUGCAAAAACCUCCCGGACCAGUCAGGCUCAGACUGUCUAAGUUUCUGAUUCUACGAGACACCGGUGGUAAAUGUCACCUGUUGUUACCUGAAGUCCCGAGUUUUGAUUCUAUUCCACACCCAGCCUGAAGACCCUGCUCCGAGAACCCGCCUCUCCUUAAA